rnacentral:rRNA from 2 species
UUUGGUGGCGAUAGCGAAGAGGUCACACCCGUUCCCAUACCGAACACGGAAGUUAAGCUCUUCAGCGCCGAUGGUAGUCGGGGGUUUCC